GAGCCUUCACGUUGCUCAAAAUUGAAAAAGUUGCAGUUUCGUCAGAAAAAAGCACUGACAGCGACAGCUAGGCAUUAGAAUAUUACAUGAAGUAAGGCUCAUAGUUUUAUGGGCAGUAUAAACUGCAGUAAGCAUUCACUUACCAACUAAACAUGCAUGGUAGAUCACGUGACUCUGUGGCAGC
rnacentral:lncRNA from 1 species